AUACGUAGGUGGCAAGCGUUAUCCGGAUUUACUGGGUGUAAAGGGCGUGUAGGCGGAGAUGCAAGUCAGGAGUGAAAUCUAGGGGCUCAACCCCUAAACUGCUUUUGAAACUGUAUCCCUUGAGUAUCGGAGAGGCAGGCGGAAUUCCUAGUGUAGCGGUGAAAUGCGUAGAUAUUAGGAGGAACACCAGUGGCGAAGGCGGCCUGCUGGACGACAACUGACGCUGAGGCGCGAAAGCGUGGGGAGCAAACAGGAUUAGAUACCCUGGUAGUCCACGCUGUAAACGAUGAAUACUAGGUGUGGGAGGACUGACCCCUUCCGUGCCGCAGUUAACACAAUAAGUAUUCCACCUGGGGAGUACGAUCGCAAGAUUGAAACUCAAAGGAAUUGACGGGG
rnacentral:rRNA from 1 species